GAGACAUGAACAUUAAAUAAAUAACUUUAUUGAUGUGAUAUUUUUUGUUUUUUCCUCAUAAUAUUUCAUAAAAUUGCAAAUUGUUCUAUACUUCAAAUGCAAAUGUAGCAUAAAAUGCCAUCCUUCAACUUUAAAUGUAUUUAAAUGCAUGUAUAUAUUAAUGUCUUUUGUAAACUGUAUUUAAAACACAUUAAAUCACUUAUUGAGUAAUAAAUUAUUGUGAAAAAAUAACCAGCAAAAAAGAUUGCCCACAAUCAUCCCAAUUUUUACUUGUGUGUUUUUCCCUUGUUUAAAUAUCUUGCAGAAAAAAAAUGAACACAAAGUUGUGUGUAUUUUUAAUUUAUUACACGACUGAUUGUUUCCCACAACUGCACUGCUGUACAGUGAGGCAAAAAGUCAUGUCAGGUUGUUUUGUAGGAAAUAUAAUUCAGCACAAGUCAAACAUAUUUUUUUUUACAGAUUUACAACAUUUACUAAAGUCAGUGUGACUUGACAGUUUUCACCCUUUUCUCCUUUUUUAUUCCCAACUGCAAAGAUGUGUCCAGUUGCAGUUCAAUAAACAAAAUAGUCCAAAAAAGCACUUUCACUAAAUCCAGAUUUAUUUCGGGUGAAUUUUUUAAUAUGUUCUAGAAAACAGAGGAGCUUUUUACUUGAGUGGAGUGAACGUUCUCGGAACAUCUUGCUCUCAGGGAGAAGAGGACGACAAAAAAUGGGUUUUUUUAUCGACUCCAUGUGAUGGAGCUUCUCGAGACAGACUUGCGGUGGAAGGCGCCACAGACCACAGCCCCCUGAGAUUAAAAAUGUUCUGAUCCAAUAAGUCUCUCUGUCUCUUCCAGAGUGUCUUUUAGUUCCUCGCAGGUCCUUUCACGUCCACAGACUGCUGGCCUGCCGACAGGUUGCAGGAGGACGGGUCGCAGUAGCCGUGAGGGCCGGCUGCACCAGGAGGUCCAGGCACACCAUGUUGUCCAGGCACACCGGGAGGUCCUCUCUGGCCGUCACGCCCGUCCUGACCGUAACCAGGAAGUCCUGGAGGUCCUUGUUGACCUUUGGCUCCUCGCACGGUGGGCCCUCGGGAGCCCCUGUCCCCCAUUUCACCUGCAACACACGUCAUGUGAGGACGGCACGCCGAAGCAAGAGGUCCUAGUGGUCCUUUGAGUCCAGGAAGUCCUCUUAUUCCUGCCUGUCCUGGGAAACCGUUGUCUCCUGGAGACCCAGGAGGUCCUGGAGGUCCGGGUUUGCCAGGUAAACCAACCACACCUGACUCAGGCCUUCUCAAACCAGCUGCCAACUGGGCCAGUUGUUCUGUUGGGUCACAAAUGAUGAAGGGAUGAAACUUUGCCUCCAAAGUUCUUGAGUCUGUUGUGGGUUCAAUCUAAAGUGAACGUGAUGAACUCGGCUCAUGAAGAAUCUUUCAAACUUUCUCUCAACAUCUUUCAACAGCAAAUGUAGCGGAGAAGAGACAAUGCUUUUUAUUUUCACCAGCAAUCAGCGAGAAAGAUGUAUGUUCAAGGUGCAAAUGAUCCAAUAUUAAUCUCCAGUGACUCUUUGCUGCAUGAGAUUCUGCACUUUGCAGGCUGCUGAUGAAAAUUCAUGCAGUGGCUGCUCUUUUUAAACAUUUCCUUCCCUGGCCGACUCUCUUUGCUCAGAGCGGAGGAGU